AUUAUAAGAAGAGACAUCAGCCAGGAGUUUGGUCCUGGACUUCUAAUCUCCAGAACUGUGAUAAGAAACAGAAUGUACGCUGACCCUGUUCGUGGACUCUGCUAUGUUUCCCUGACUCCGAAAGUGAUGGGAAGCCCUCUUAGAAGUGCUUUUAUCCGUCUCGUCCUUUGAACCCAGGGUCUGCGUUUGGUACGCGUUCUAGCCCGUGUCUCAGAACGUACACGGUGCUUUUGGACCCGGGGUUGUGGCUGACGGGGUGUGUGGAGGUUGCCUGGUGGUGGAAUCUCAGGCUUUGCCACCUGAUCGUCUCCCAAGUACAAGAGCAAGUGGAGUGUGCAGCUGCUACAGCCACUUCUAGUCUAGUCUCCGUUCCGGCACUUUCCAGAAGACGAAAGCAGGGAGAAGGAAUUCUUUGAAAGGAGCAUGCUUGUCAAGAUGAAAUCAAGAGAGACAUGACUUUCGGCAGCAAAGUCCUAUGGGAGAGGCAGCAGACGAAUGCCAUGAGGCAAUGGGACGAGAAAAAUGGAACAAGAGAGAAGCAAAAGGUCAAGUGUCCCCCAAGUGACCCUUGCCCAUGACCAUCUCACUUAACAUCCGGACUCCAGAUGUUCCGUAGAUUUAUUAAACUCCACGUGUACUGGAGAAGUG